CCUACGGGAGGCAGCAGUGGGGAAUCUUCCGCAAUGGGCGCAAGCCUGACGGAGCAACGCCGCGUGAGUGAAGAAGGUCUUCGGAUCGUAAAGCUCUGUUGAAGGGGACGAACGUAUAUAGUGCGAAUAGUGCUGUGUAAUGACGGUACCUUUUGAGGAAGCCACGGCUAACUACGUGCCAGCAGCCGCGGUAAUACGUAGGUGGCGAGCGUUGUCCGGAAUCAUUGGGCGUAAAGGGAGCGCAGGCGGCCAUGUAAGUCUUGCUUAAAAGUUCGGGGCUCAACCCCGUGAUGGGCAAGAAACUAUAUGGCUUGAGUGCAGGAGAGGAAAGCGGAAUUCCCAGUGUAGCGGUGAAAUGCGUAGAUAUUGGGAGGAACACCAGUGGCGAAGGCGGCUUUCUGGACUGCAACUGACGCUGAGGCUCGAAAGCCAGGGGAGCGAACGGGAUUAGAUACCCUGGUAGUC
rnacentral:rRNA from 1 species